AUAAAGAGAAAGCUGCUCUGCGUUCAAGGUCAAGAAUCAACGCAGACUAUGCCAAGUACAAAGAAAACUGCUUUUGGCCCCAGCUGACUGAAAAAAAAAACCAAAGGCAAUACAAGUUACAGGACUUAGAUUACAUUUACAAAGCUUAACUAUCCAGUGAAAUCCAACAGUCUGCCUUUGCGACCCUGGAGCCCGCGUGGUUUGGGGACGCUGAAGAAGCCACAGGCAGCCGGCCUGGACUGGAAUCUCUGAAAAAGAUGCCCCAGGAGACCCCAGAGUGUAAAAGAACAGCUCUCCCAAGAGUGGAAGCAAGGUGGGAGAUUCUGGACAAGCCGUAUACAGGAUACUCUCCCGUACAUGCUCCCCCCCGGUUCUCUGGGGAUUAUACACAGACGUGGCCAGUCUGGACGCAUGUCAGUUGUUUUGGAUUUUAAAGUGCACUACCCAGGGAAAGCAGAGAUGAGGGGAUGAAGAUUCAAAUAUUCACAAAGGAGCCCAGGUGUCCAAUUCCAACAUUCUGCCACCGUUUGAGGAACCCUGGAGUAGAUGGUGCUGGCAGCCCCCUUAUACCUGACAGCUCAGUGGUCUGGACACUCCCCUGGAGAGGACGACCUGCUCCAGAGCAGGAAUUCAAGCCUGGAUCCCGCACAUCCCAGGACCAUAACUACAACAUUAAGCGAGGAGUUAUUGUAUGUGACUUUUAACUUGGAAGUUGGGGCAUGUCUACACUACAAAGAAUUCCCUCAGGAGUAAAAGGUGAAUGCCCAUCCCCCUUUAAAGACUCAAGAAGUUUUGAAAUUGCUUUUCCUGUUUGCUCGGCCCGGAGAGCAACUGACCAUGCCGGCUCCAUGCAGCGAACGCGCUCCUGCCUGGAGUACACGGGAGGUGGUGGAUCUCCUGGGUCUGGGAGGAGACGAGGCUGUGCAGGCACAGCUCUGCUCCAGCCGCAGCAACGUUGAUAUCUAUGGCCAGAUCGCUCAGGGCAUGGUGGAGAAGGGCUAUGACAGCGACAUGCUGCAGCACCGAGUACAAAUCAUGGCGUUGAGGAAAGUAUACCAGAAGCCAAGAGAGACAAAUAGCCACUCCGGUGCGGAGCCCCAGACAUGCCACUUCUACAUGGAGCUGUAUGUCAUCCUCAGUGGCAACCCCACCUCCACCGCCAAGAGCCCCGUCUGGAGUCACUGGCCACCAGAGUGAACCCAGAGGACGACGUGCUGGACAAGGAAGUGGAGGCAGAGGAGGAUGGGGGAAGGCAACAGGGAGAUCCAGUGGUGUGGGGAGCCAGGAUCUCUUUUUGUCUCCUGAGCAUUCUAGCCCGUCCCAGCAGUCAAGCUCUCGUGAGCCUGAUGCAGGGGAAGGAACCUCUGGUAAGUUCUCUGCUUGACUACUGCAGGGACACAUCGGGUCAUGGACUGCUCUUGUAAUCGGGCUACAAGAGGCAGUGAAAUAAUCAACACAGGUACAGAUGCUCUCUUCUUCUCACUUCCCUGUACAGCGAGGCAGAGGGAGCCCUGUGGAAAGGUUUGUUUAUGCACACCUGGCUGUCCCGUGACUCCUCCAUAGAGAUCUCUAGGAAACUUUCCUGGAGGUAGUCUGCAAUUCUCUGCUGAAGGUUUCUUGGGAAGGCGGCUUUGUUUCUCCCCCGGUGGUAGGAAACUUUGCCAUGUCACUCGGCAAUUACUUCAGCAAGCACCAUAGCAGCACACAGGGCAGCAGCAUAUGGUCCUGGUCUGCAACCACAGGCAUACAGGAGCUGGACCCUUGCUGCCUCAGUUAACUUCAGGAGUGAGAAAUCAGCUGCAAUCAACCCCGCCUGUGAAAAGCAGUGCCAGGAUUCAGUACAGUAGCCCUUUGCGCUGGUACUGAUACCCAAUGGCUGUGCACCCUUUGUCCCAACUUACCCCCUCCUCCCUGGGGCUACCGCCGCGCUGUGUGGGCAUCAAGGGAAAGUGAGAAAGAUGUGCUUGUUACUUGUUUGGAUCAAGGGUGUAUGUGCACUGACAACACCACCUCCGUCUAUUGUUUCUUUAGCAGCUAAAGUACCCCAGGCACUCCACCCUGUGGGGCAUUUCGCACAAUGACAGCUGAACAUACACCCAGCUCGGAGAUCCUCACUGGCAAACCUGCUUGUGAAUUUCCUGUUCCUCCCCCUUUAAAGAUACUUUCCCCUGUAUGUAUGAAAUCUAGGUUACCAAUACAUAAAUAUGUUUGCAUGGGUGUGGAAUAAAACUGAACUUA